CCUUCGGGCGCCGACGAGUGGCGGACGGGUGCGUAACGCGUAGGAAUCUGCCUGUUAGUGGGGGACAACGUGGGGAAACUCACGCUAAUACCGCAUACGCCCUACGGGGGAAAGCGGGGGACCUUCGGGCCUCGCGCUAACAGAUGAGCCUGCGUUGGAUUAGCUAGUUGGUAGGGUAAAGGCCUACCAAGGCGACGAUCCAUAGCUGGUCUGAGAGGACGAUCAGCCACACUGGGACUGAGACACGGCCCAGACUCCUACGGGAGGCAGCAGUGGGGAAUAUUGGACAAUGGGCGCAAGCCUGAUCCAGCAAUACCGCGUGUGUGAAGAAGGCCUUAGGGUUGUAAAGCACUUUCAAUGGGGAGGAAAACCUACCGGUCAAUACCCGGUAGCUUGACAUUACCUAUAGAAGAAGCACCGGCUAACUCCGUGCCAGCAGCCGCGGUAAUACGGAGGGUGCGAGCGUUAAUCGGAAUUACUGGGCGUAAAGCGUGCGUAGGCGGCUCGUUAAGUCAGAUGUGAAAGCCCUGGGCUCAACCUGGGAACUGCAUUUGAAACUGGCGAGCUAGAGUUGAGUAGAGGGGAGUGGAAUUUCAGGUGUAGCGGUGAAAUGCGUAGAUAUCUGAAGGAACACCAGUGGCGAAGGCGACUCCCUGGACUCAAACUGACGCUGAGGUACGAAAGCGUGGGUAGCAAACAGGAUUAGAUACCCUGGUAGUCCACGCUGUAAACGAUGUCAACUAGCCGUUGGUCCUAUUUACAGGAUUAGUGGCGCAGCUAACGCAUUAAGUUGACCGCCUGGGGAGUACGGCCGCAAGGUUAAAACUCAAAUGAAUUGACGGGGGCCCGCACAAGCGGUGGAGCAUGUGGUUUAAUUCGAUGCAACGCGAAGAACCUUACCUACCCUUGACAUCCAGGGAAUC
rnacentral:rRNA from 1 species